rnacentral:lncRNA from 11 species
UUGGAACAGGAGCUUGAUUAAUAAAUGUUGUAACAUUGUCUUUUCAUAGCAAUGUAUACUUCUUAGUAAUGUCUGACAGGUCUAAUGGUUUCUUCUUCUGGAAAAAAGAUCAUUUGUAUUUCAUACACAGGAAGCUUCAAAACAAUUGACUUCUGACUGUUCACUUCCUAUGAGGUUAAAUUGUUAAUGUUAAGUUUCUUACUAUCUGUCCAUAUCUGAAAAUUGAGGAAAUUGUUUGCAGUUAAUGAUCUGUCCACUUCACUUGAAACAAAUAGUGACAAAAACGAAAUAUUGAAUGCAUGUACUCAUAUAUUAGGGCAUGCAGAUUUUAUUAGAUAAACACAGGGAGUGUUAUCAUUAAUCCAUAAAACAAAUACAUGUUAUAGAUAUUUUAUACUUAAUUAUUAUCUGAUUGCAUUUUUGUGUCUUUAUUGUGUAUGUUUUACAAUCGCCUUUGGUCAUAAAUGAACGUUGAUAUCCAUCUAUCAUAUAACUGUGCAGAGACUGGAAAUUUUACCUUGAGAGACCAUAAAU